AGGGGAUUCCUGAAUCAGGAAGAAAAUUUGACUAAAUAAUUUUUUUUUAAACCCUUACCUUCCGUCUUGGAGUCAAUACUGUGUAUUGGCUCCAAGGCAGAAGAGUGGUAAGGGCUAGGCAAUGGGGGUCAAGUGACUUGCCCAGGGUCACACAGCUAGGAAGUGGCUGAGGCCAGAUUUGAACCUAGGACCUCCCGUCUCUAGGACUGGCUCUUAAUCCACUGAGCUACCCAGCUGCCCCCUUGACUAAAUAAUUUUGAAUUAUGUCCUUUUCAAUUUUUCAGAUUUUUUUACUCUAAUAAGAAAGCAACAUGCAAUUAUAGAUAGAAAGCUGAUAUUAGAAAUAGAAGGCCUGAGAUUCAAGUUCUAUCAGUAAUACCUACAGAAGAAGUCAUUAAACCUGUCAAUAUUCUGAGCAACUCUAUAAAACAGUAAAUUAUGGAAAAGGUAUCAACUUGCAUUUGCAAGCACAAUUUCUUCCAAUGGGAGUUAUCUGUACCAGUAAAUCAUUAAUAGUGUUCCUAUUCCUUUAAGCACUGUCAUAGACUCCUUGUUCAUCAAACUGUGAGUGAUAGACAUCUACCUUCCCUAAACAUGGUCUCAGUGUCUUGGUCUCAGUUACAAGACUCUAAGGAAGACUCUGAUUGUGGAAAUUAAGCAUUGUUUGAACAUAAACCUCUGGGAAUGGGAAACUGAACCCCCUGAACUUGCUGCCCAGAAAUCCUCAAACAAGAACCCAAGUCAUGUCUAAGGACUGAUGCAUUUAGAUUAUAAAGGACAGGAUAAAAAUGGCUGAAAGUCAAUAUCUAAGAAAAGUAAGGAAAUAACCAAGGAGCACCCUACUGUUCUAGAAGAAUUCAAGUUACCUGGCUGAGGUAAACCCCAUCCCACAUCAGUAAUUUCUGAGCAACAAUUGUCUGUGAUAUUUAAAAGAACUGAAGAGGUACUGGAAAAGGGCAACUGUCAUCCCAAUUUUCAAGAAAAAAUGAAUGGAAUCUGAACACUGUAGUCAAAUGAGCUUGGCUUCAAUUCCCAGGAAAAUCCUACAGUGAAUUAUUAACGAAACAGUUAAUGAGCAGUUAGAAAAAUAAAUAGCCUAGCC
rnacentral:lncRNA from 1 species